ensembl:misc_RNA
CAGGAGAGGCAAAACACAGGCAGCAAUCGUGGGAGCUUUGCUCACAUGCGCCCAUCCCUGUGCCUCGACCCUGAGCUGGAGGCGCUCCCUCCAGA